rnacentral:rRNA from 1 species
AUUGAACGCUGGCGGCGGGCCUAACACAUGCAAGUCGAACGAGUGGCGGAGGGGCGAGUAGUGUCUGGGAAACUGCGCGAUGGAGGGGGGUAAGUACUGGAAACCGUAGCUAAAAGCGCAUACCAUGGGAUGGGCCCAGAUGGGAUUAGCUAGUAGGUGGGGUAACGGCUCACCUAGGCGACGAUCCCUAGCUGGUCUGAGAGGAUGACCAGCCACACUGGGACUGAGACACGGUCCAGACUCCUACGGGAGGCAGCAGUGGGGAAUAUUGCACAAUGGGCGCAAGCCUGAUGCAGCCAUGCCGCGUGUAUGAAGAAGGCCUUCGGGUUGUAAAGUACUUUCAGCGAGGAGGCGUUACUCGCAGAAGAAGCACCGGCUAACUCCGUGCCAGCAGCCGCGGUAAUAC